rnacentral:rRNA from 1 species
GCGUGAGUGAAGAAGGCCUUAGGGUUGUAAAGCUCUUUUACCAGGGAAGAUAAUGACGGUACCUGGAGAAUAAGCCCCGGCAAACUUCGUGCCAGCAGCCGCGGUAAUACGAAGGGGGCUAGCGUUGUUCGGAUUUACUGGGCGUAAAGCGCACGUAGGCGGUUUGAUAAGUCGGGGGUGAAAUCCUGGGGCUCAACCUCAGAAUUGCCUUCGAUACUGUCGAUCUAGAGGCCAGAAGAGGUUAGUGGAAUUCCCAGUGUAGAGGUGAAAUUCGU